GACGAACGCUGGCGGCGUGCUUAACACAUGCAAGUCGAACGGAAAGGCCCUGCUUUUGUGGGGUGCUCGAGUGGCGAACGGGUGAGUAACACGUGAGUAACCUGCCCUUGACUUUGGGAUAACUUCAGGAAACUGGGGCUAAUACCGGAUAGGAGCUCCUGCUGCAUGGUGGGGGUUGGAAAGUUUCGGCGGUUGGGGAUGGACUCGCGGCUUAUCAGCUUGUUGGUGGGGUAGUGGCUUACCAAGGCUUUGACGGGUAGCCGGCCUGAGAGGGUGACCGGCCACAUGGGGACGGGGAUACGGCCCAGACCCCUACGGGGGGCAGCAGGGGGGAAUAUUGCAAAAGGGGCGGAAGCCUGAUGGAGCAACGCCGGGGGGGGGAGGGCGGCCUUCGGGUUGUAAACCGCUUUCGCGUGUGACGAAGCGUGAGUGACGGUAAUGGGGAAAGAAGCACCGGCUAACUACGU
rnacentral:rRNA from 1 species